ACCUUGAAAUACCACCCUUUAAUGUUUGAUGUUCUAACGUGGACCCGUUACCCGGGUUGCGGACAGUGUCUGGUGGGUAGUUUGACUGGGGCGGUCUCCUCCUAAAGAGUAACGGAGGAGCACGAAGGUUGGCUAAUCCUGGUCGGACAUCAGGAGGUUAGUGCAAUGGCAUAAGCCAGCUUGACUGCGAGCGUGACGGCGCGAGCAGGUGCGAAAGCAGGUCAUAGUGAUCCGGUGGUUCUGAAUGGAAGGGCCAUCGCUCAACGGAUAAAAGGUACUCCGGGGAUAACAGGCUGAUACCGCCCAAGAGUUCAUAUCGACGGCGGUGUUUGGCACCUCGAUGUCGGCUCAUCACAUCCUGGGGCUGAAGUAGGUCCCAAGGGUAUGGCUGUUCGCCAUUUAAAGUGGUACGCGAGCUGGGUUUAGAACGUCGUGAGACAGUUCGGUCCCUAUCUGCCGUGGGCGCUGGAGAACUGAGGGGGGCUGCUCCUAGUACGAGAGGACCGGAGUGGACGCAUCACUGGUGUUCGGGUUGUCAUGCCAAUGGCACUGCCCGGUAGCUAAAUGCGGAAGAGAUAAGUGCUGAAAGCAUCUAAGCACGAAACUUGCCCCGAGAUGAGUUCUCCCUGAGACUUAGAGUCUCCUGAAGGAACGUUGAAGACGACGACGUUGAUAGGCCGGGUGUGUAAGCGCAGCGAUGCGUUGAGCUAACCGGUACUAAUGAACCGUGAGGCUUAACCUUACAACGCCGAA
rnacentral:rRNA from 1 species